GAUGAACGCUGGCGGCGUGCUUAACACAUGCAAGUCGAACGAUGAAGCCCAGCUUGCUGGGUGGGUUAGUGGCGAACGGGUGAGUAACACGUGAGUAACCUGCCCUUAACUCUGGGAUAAGCCUGGGAAACUGGGUCUAAUACCGGAUAGGAGCGCCUACCGCACGUGGGGUGUUGGAGAGAUUUAUCGGUUUUGGAUGGACUCGCGGCCUAUCAGCUUGUUGGUGAGGUAAUGGCUCACCAAGGCGACGACGGGUAGCCGGCCUGAGAGGGUGACCGGCCACACUGGGACUGAGACACGGCCCAGACUCCUACGGGAGGCAGCAGUGGGGAAUAUUGCACAAUGGGCGAAAGCCUGAUGCAGCGACGCCGCGUGAGGGAUGACGGCCUUCGGGUUGUAAACCUCUUUCAGUAGGGAAGAAGCGAAAGUGACGGUACCUGCAGAAGAAGCACCGGCUAACUACGUG
rnacentral:rRNA from 1 species